rnacentral:rRNA from 1 species
GAUGAACGCUAGCGGCAGGCCUAAUACAUGCAAGUCGAACGGAUAUAUGUUUUUCGGAAUAUAUAUUAGUGGCGCACGGGUGAGUAACACGUACAUAACUUGCCCUCAAGCGGGGGAUAGCCUUGGGAAACUGAGAGUAAUACCCCAUAGAAUUAUUGGACGGCAUCGUUUGAUAAUUAAAACUACGGUGCUUGGGGAUAGAUGUGCGUCUGAUUAGCUAGUUGGUGAGGUAACUGCUCACCAAGGCGACGAUCAGUAGGGGGCGUGAGAGCGUGGCCCCCCANACGGGUACUGAGACACGGACCCGACUCCUACGGGAGGCAGCAGUAAGGAAUAUUGGACAAUGGGCGCAAGCCUGAUCCAGCCAUGCCGCGUGCGGGACGAAGGCCUUCGGUUGUAAACCGCUUUCAGCCGGAAAGAAAUACGCCGUUUUAAUACAGACGGUGGAUGACGGUACCGGAAGAAGAAGCACCGGCUAACUACGUGCCAGCAGCCGCGGUUAAAGUAGUCGUGU